UACGUAGGGCGCAAGCGUUGUCCGGAAUUAUUGGGCGUAAAGAGCUCGUAGGCGGUCUGUUACGUCCGCUGUGAAAACCCAGGGCUUAACCCUGGGCUUGCAGUGGAUACGGGCAGACUAGAGGCAGGUAGGGGAGAAUGGAAUUCCCGGUGUAGCGGUGAAAUGCGCAGAUAUCGGGAGGAACACCAGUGGCGAAGGCAGGUCUCUGGGCCAUUACUGACACUGAGAAGCGAAAGCAUGGGGAGCGAACAGG
rnacentral:rRNA from 1 species